rfam:Canis lupus familiaris chromosome 15, whole genome shotgun sequence.
GCCUGGGUGGCUCAGCGGUUGAGUGUCUGACUUUUGCUCAGGUCUUGAUCCUGGGGUCGUGGGAUCGAGCCCCACGUUGGGCU